UACAUGGGGUGCAAACGUUGCUCGGAAUUAUUGGGCGUAAAGCGCGCGUAGGCGGUUACUCAAGUCGGAUGUGAAAGCCCUCGGCUUAACUGAGGAAGUGCACCCGAAACUGAGUAGCUAGAGUACUAAAGAGGGUCGCGGAAUUCCCGGUGUAGAGGUGAAAUUCGUAGAUAUCGGGAGGAACACCGGUGGCGAAGGCGGCCUUCUGGACAGUGACUGACGCUGAGACGCGAAAGCGUGGGGAGCAAACAGG
rnacentral:rRNA from 1 species